GUCCUGUCUUCAGCAGCACAUAUACUAAAAUUGGAAUGAUACAGAAAAGAUUAGCAUGGCCCCUGUGCAAGGAUGACAUGCAAAUUCAUGAAGCAUUCCAUAUUUUU
rnacentral:snRNA from 1 species